AUAAAGGAAGAGAAAAUGUUGUGAUCAUCCACCUCAAACGAUUUGUUGAGAUUUAUGCUACCUGGCAAUCAACGACUAAUAUUACUUUCAAGAAGGCAAGACCAACAUAUGGCAUGUCACAUCGGCAUUUUUUUCACAAACAGAUGAAUUUCACAAGUCGAAUUACCACCUCAAUAAUAGGAAAAAAAUACAUUUGAUCUUCGGUUAUAAGUUGUAUUCACAACUGUCCAAGAGAGUACAACAAAAGGUCAAUUUUUCCAUUGGAAGCACCUCAAGUUAGGAACAAGUCUGUUAUCCAAUUACAUUCAUGGCAUAUAACACUUGAAAGGUCAAUUUUCCAUUGGAAGCACCUCAAGCUAGGAACAAGUCUGUUAUCCAAUUACAUUCAUAUGGCAUAUAACACUUGAAAAAGCUAAUGAUGUAUUUCAACAUUGUUUAGCAUGUAGCAAGCUUUGUUUGACUGAUAUACUCAAUACUACAUUUGUAAUUUUAUCAUUGGUCCAACUUUUUGAAUAAACAAUUUCUCUUUCUUUGCACUUUGAAAAAA